rnacentral:snRNA from 1 species
GUGUUCACUUCAACAGCACAUAUACUAAAAUUGGAACAAUAGAGAGAAGAUUAGCAUGGCCCCUGAGCAAGAAUGACACACAAAUCUGAUGGAAAUAUCUUCCAUGA